AACCUGCGGAGGGAUCAUUACCGAGUUUACAACUCCCAAACCCCUGUGAACAUACCUUAAUGUUGCCUCGGCGGAUCAGCCCGCUCCCCGUAAAACGGGACGGCCCGCCAGAGGACCCAAACUCUAAUGUUUCUUAUUGUAACUUCUGAGUAAAACAAACAAAUAAAUCAAAACUUUCAACAACGGAUCUCUUGGUUCUGGCAUCGAUGAAGAACGCAGCAAAAUGCGAUAAGUAAUGUGAAUUGCAGAAUUCAGUGAAUCAUCGAAUCUUUGAACGCACAUUGCGCCCGCUGGUAUUCCGGCGGGCAUGCCUGUUCGAGCGUCAUUUCAACCCUCAAGCCCCCGGGUUUGGUGUUGGGGAUCGGCUCUGCCUCACGGCGGUGCCGCCCCCGAAAUACAUUGGCGGUCUCGCUGCAGCCUCCAUUGCGUAGUAGCUAACACCUCGCAACUGGAACGCGGCGCGGCCAUGCCGUAAAACCCCAACUUCUGAAUGUUGACCU
rnacentral:rRNA from 1 species